rnacentral:rRNA from 1 species
AGUGAACGCUGGCGGUAGGCCUAACACAUGCAAGUCGAACGGCAGCACAGUAAGAGCUUGCUCUUACGGGUGGCGAGUGGCGGACGGGUGAGGAAUACAUCGGAAUCUACUUUUUCGUGGGGGAUAACGUAGGGAAACUUACGCUAAUACCGCAUACGACCUACGGGUGAAAGCAGGGGAUCUUCGGACCUUGCGCGAUUGAAUGAGCCGAUGUCGGAUUAGCUAGUUGGCGGGGUAAAGGCCCACCAAGGCGACGAUCCGUAGCUGGUCUGAGAGGAUGAUCAGCCACACUGGAACUGAGGCACGGUCCAGACUCCUACGGGAGGCAGCAGUGGGGAAUAUUGGACAAUGGGCGCAAGCCUGAUCCAGCCAUGCCGCGUGGGUGAAGAAGGCCUUCGGGUUGUAAAGCCCUUUUGUUGGGAAAGAAAAGCAGCAGGUUAAUACCCCGCUGUUCUGACGGUACCCAAAGAAUAAGCACCGGCUAACUUCGUG